ensembl:lncRNA
AUUUGUACUCUCAUCCCCUAUAUUAUUUUAUUAUUAUGUUAACAUAGCUCAAAGUUCAGUUAGCUUUGAAGAAAAACAGAAAAGUCCUAAAAAGAGCUACUUUAUACUUUCUUACUUUGAGUACAUUUCAGAGCCUGCACUUUUCUACUUGAGUAAGGAACUUGAAUCAGUACUUCAACUUUUACUGGAAUAUUUUUUACAGGAGUAUUUGUACUUGUACUUAAGUACAGAAUGUCUGUACUUUUGCCAACUCUGCUUGGUCUGAGCAGGAGCUCAUCAGAUUGAACUAACUGGUGUCCUAUUCUUAAUGUUUCUGACUAAAUUCAGAAACAUUAAGGUUGUUGCUGCUGUGCACUCACAGAUACUGAUGGUCUGAUGAAGGCCUCUACAAGUGUGACAUCAGCGGUCAUGGAGAGUCUCCAUCCAGCUGGAUCACUGUCACAGGAAAUGACAUCAGUGAUUCAACCAAGCCCACUCUGCUUGACCAGGGAUUGGAUAACGAACGUGAUGAUGUAAUCACUGAUGUAACCACAGAGUAUCACUUCUGAAUCAGAGCUUUGUUGUCUCUUUCUGAGUCUCACUAACUUUGUCCUCUCCAUCUCUGAUUUGGAGAUUAUUUGAAUAAAUGGACUCUGAUGUUCAUCUCUGGAUAUUUUGUGUAGAUAAACAGUAAAUAUUCCUGCUCAGAGGAGGAGAUCCAUCACGUAGUUUCUGCACCACUGCAG